UAGGUGGCAAGCGUUGUCCGGAAUUACUGGGUGUAAAGGGAGCGCAGGCGGGAAGGCAAGUCAGCGGUGAAAACUAUGGGCUCAACCCAUAGACUGCCGUUGAAACUGUUUUUCUUGAGUGAAGUAGAGGCAGGCGGAAUUCCGAGUGUAGCGGUGAAAUGCGUAGAGAUUCGGAGGAACACCAGUGGCGAAGGCGGCCUGCUGGGCUUUUACUGACGCUGAGGCUCGAAAGUGUGGGGAGCAAA
rnacentral:rRNA from 1 species